UGCCGUGGACACUGCCAGAAUUUGUCAAAGGUCCUAGGAAGAAAAGGCCCUUUCGCCCCUCCCCUCAGUGAACAGAUGGUGUGUUUGGACUGUUUGCAUUCGCUCCUCAUAGGGACAAAUAAAUCUCUUCCCACUCCAUGGGAUUUCCCUUGAUUUUUAUAUUGGGAGUAAAAAGAUGAAGCAUGAGACUUUUCAGCUGCAUCUCAAACUGCAUCUAAUUCCAGCACAUCUCUCUCAAUCUUUGAUUAAGCCUGUUCAUCUAAAAGAGAGACACGGGGAAAAUGGAAAUGGGACUUUGGAAGAAGAAUGACCAUCCACAUUCCCAUCACAGCCUGGGAUUUCCUACCUGAUUGAGAUUUUCAGUAGAUAGCCCUAGGUCUAGUUUCCCACUGUGGUCCUGUUGCCUUUGCCUCCAAUAGAGGACUUCCAAGUAACUAGAAAGAUUGCACCUCUCCUUUGAAACAUAAGGGACAAAUGGGUUUCUUUAGGAUGAGAGGUGCACCUGGCUAGAGUCGAUCUUUAUUUUCCUAAAAUAACCAGGAUGAAAACUCAAAAUAAAAAGAAAUACCUCAUGGGCAAAAGCUCUCCCAGUACAACUAAUAUAGACACUCAACAUGGCUUCGUAGAAACUGACCCAUCUCCCGAGUCUUACGUUUGCCAGAAUUGCAUGCCUAUUUCAAUCAAAGAAAAGUGAUCUGAUCUCUUCAGAUGAAGGUGGGACUUGGAGAUGCUGCUGCCUAGGGUUAACUUGCCAGAGAAAGGAUAAGCAUUCGGGAGGUGCGGGGAUGGGGUACAAGGAAAGACCUAUCAGCUGAGCAAUGGCAGGAUCCCUUCUGCCAAUGGCCUGGCUCAGGGAGUAAACCUCCCCGGAAGGAACUUUGUUUCUCUCUAGAAUCAAAGUGGGCAAAAUGGUCACCUUAUUUGCCUGGAGUGAACCAGGUUGAAACUGAGAAGGCAGAUGUAGGUGUUAAGCCAGAUGAAGUUAUAUGUUAUAACUAAACGAUGUACCUGUAACCUGCCUGGUAGUUUAAACUGCACCAAGUAGUUUAUUCCUUCUCUCUAAACAGGUCAUUAAGUGUUAGUCUGUGAUCCACUAUGGAGAGAGAUUUCUGGAAAGAAUAGAGCCAGUGGUACAGGAUGCAAGGUUGUUAUUUAAAGAGAUGAAUGUGGGCCGGGUCCCAUGGCUCAUACCUGUAAUCCCAGCAUUUUGGAAGGUAGAGGCAGGAGGAUUGCUUAAGGCCAGAGUUCAAGACCAGCCUGGCCAAUAUAGGGAGACACCCAUCUCUACAAAAGAUAGAAAAACUUAGCCAGGCUUGGUGGCAGGCGCUAUAGACCCUCCCACCAUGGGACUACAGCUCCUGUAGUCCCAGCUACUCAGGAGCUGAGGUGGAAGGAUUGCUUGAGUCCAGAAGUUUGAGGUUGCAGUGAGCCAUGAUCAUGCCACUGCACUCCUCCCUGGGUGAUAGAGCAAGACCUGACUCAAUAAUAAUAGUAAUAAUAAUAAUAAUGCAACAUAAACUAUCUUUUACCUCUUGAACAAUGAAUACAGAUGCCAUGACUACAUUUGUUUGUUGGGGAUCAGGGAGGCUGGCAGUGAGAAUUCAGGGUGGAAGUAGCCGUGAACCCAAUACCUAUUGUGAGAUGUGGCCUGGGCAGCCCUGAGAUUUUCUGGCCAGGCUCACUCACUACCCAGACACCCUCUUCCUGCAUGGGGAGUCCCUCAGCCCCUCCGAGGCUCACUUCUCAGACAUCGGAGUAAUCCACAUCCUCCGUCUUGAGUUAUUCCUCACAAGACCUGCAAGUUUUCCUAGGAGGAAAGCAAGACAGGGUCGAACCCACACAAUUCUUGAAUCUAGAAUUUGGAGGAUUUCUAAACCACUUCUGUAAGUCAGCCCUUGAGAACUUGUAGGUUUUCUCAUCAUUUGCAGCAUGAGAGUCUUGAGUAGACUGUUUGGAUUUGACUCUUGGUUCCUUGGGCAAUUUACUUAACCUCUCAGCUGUGUGUCAGUUUCCGUAUCUAAAAAGUGUGGUUAAUAAUAACUGACCUCUCAGAGGUAUUGCGAGGUUACUGUGAUGAUUAAAUUAGGUGAUUCAUAUAAAA